CACGGGGGGAGCAAGCGUUGUUCGGAAUCACUGGGCGUAAAGGGCGUGUAGGCGGUUCGGUAAGUGAGAUGUGAAAUCCUCCGGCUCACCCGGAGACCUGCAUCUCAAACUGCCGGGCUAGAGUAUGGGAGAGGACAAGGGAAUUCCUGGUGUAGCGGUGAAAUGCGUAGAUAUCAGGAGGAACACCGGUGGCGAAAGCGCUUGUCUGGCCCAAUACUGACGCUGAGGCGCGAAAGCUAGGGGAGCAAACGGG
rnacentral:rRNA from 1 species